UAAAAUUAUGAUAUGCCCAACCAACCAAUCCCAUUAUUGUUUCUUCAUUUGAUCCACUUGGGCACAAUAUAUUUUACUUGGAAAGUUUCAAAACUUGCAUAGUUGACCAACGGAAACAAGUUGCAAGUUUCAGAAUUUGGAGUUUUAUGAUAAAGAAGGGAUGGGGAUAACCAAAAGAACCUUCCUCCUAAUUAAACAUCAUGAUUGAUUACAAAUAUAAGUAGCUUAGCAAUCUUCCUAAAUCCAAGGAUCCAAAUCAAGUCAUCAUGAGUUCCUCCACAACCGAAGCUCCACCGAUUCAAACCAUGGACUCCGAAGAAGAUGAUGCCAUUGAAACACAGACAACAGAAGUGUUGGCCUCAUGUUGUCCAGUCUGGGAUUGCAUUUGUUCGGGAUGCGAAGGCGGUUGCACUUGCCCAUCAGAAUGUGCUGUCGGAUGUUUGCAAGUUUUUAGUUCAUGCUAGCAUUUUAUUUAUGACCUCAACUCAUGUGUUCUUCUCCAAUGUUCCGUUGUUGUUUCCAUUGUCAAAUGUUUUUGUUAUACAUUAACCAAUAAUGUAUAUUGUUGAUUAUUUAUAGGAAGAAAAGAGAUACCAA